rnacentral:tRNA from 1 species
GCCUUCGUGGUGUAGUGGUCAGCACGCUCGACGCGUAAUCGAGAGGUCCGUGGUUCGAUUCCCGGCGAAGGAG